rnacentral:rRNA from 1 species
GAUGGAUAGGGGUUCUGAGAGGAAGGUCCCCCACAUUGGAACUGAGACACGGUCCAAACUCCUACGGGAGGCAGCAGUGAGGAAUAUUGGUCAAUGGACGAGAGUCUGAACCAGCCAAGUAGCGUGAAGGAUGACUGCCCUAUGGGUUGUAAACUUCUUUUAUAUGGGAAUAAAACGUUCCACGUGUGGAAUUUUGUAUGUACCAUAUGAAUAAGGAUCGGCUAACUCCGUGCCAGCAGCCGCGGUAAUACGGAGGAUCCGAGCGUUAUCCGGAUUUAUUGGGUUUAAAGGGAGCGUAGGUGGAUUGUUAAGUCAGUUGUGAAAGUUUGCGGCUCAACCGUAAAAUUGCAGUUGAAACUGGCAGUCUUGAGUACAGUAGAGGUGGGCGGAAUUCGUGGUGUAGCGGUGAAAUGCUUAGAUAUCACGAAGAACUCCGAUUGCGAAGGCAGCUCACUGGACUGCAACUGACACUGAGGCUCGAAAGUGUGGGUAUCAAACAGGAUUAGAUACCCUGGUAGUCCACACAGUAAACGAUGAAUACUCGCUGUUUGCGAUAUACAGCAAGCGGC